UGGUGAUUGGGGUGAAGUCGUAACAAGGUAGCCGUAGGAGAACCUGCGGCUGGAUCACCUCCUUUCUAGGGAG
rnacentral:rRNA from 1 species